UACGAAGGGGGCUAGCGUUGCUCGGAAUCACUGGGCGUAAAGGGUGCGUAGGUGGCGCUGUAAGUCGGGUGUGAAAUUUCGAGGCUUAACCUCGAAACUGCAUUCGAUACUGCGGUGCUUGAGGACUGGAGAGGAGACUGGAAUUCAUGGUGUAGCAGUGAAAUGCGUAGAGAUCAUGAGGAAGACCAGUGGCGAAGGCGGGUCUCUGGACAGUUCCUGACACUGAGGCACGAAGGCCAGGGGAGCAAACGGG
rnacentral:rRNA from 1 species